GGUAAAUUCCUUUCGCUGAAGACUACGCUUUCUUAGUAACCGAACACAGACAGGUCAAGUUGUGUCCGACUAGAAACCUCACCUCGACUGCUUAGCCUUCGUUUUGCUGAAAGGUGAUUUGAAUGCUACCAGAAGAGAAAGGGAAUCAUCAUUAUCGCUUAGCUACAAACCAUGUGGCCUACAACAAGAACCCAUCUGCAAGUAGAUGGGAAUCAGUGUGGAGACCCACAGAGUGAGAGACCUUGGAACACUCAGUCCUGAAUGAGAUGUCUUCAUUAAACCCGUUCGCCACGGCACAGGGAAUUAUGUAGAAAAGACAAAAAGAUUAUAAGAGCCAGAAGUGGUGGAUGACUCCAAGGAAACAGAGCUCAGACACAACAGGACCUUUAUACAUAUGAGCUCACAGAGACUGUGACAGCAAGCUCAAGACCUGCACAAGUACAAAGCAGAUACAGUCUAAGCACCGAAAAGGGGAAAUAGACACAAAGUUAGGCGCCUAGCAGAGAAGAUUUCUUCUUCUUUUGCACUGAUAACCAUUGGCAAGUAGAAAAUAAGCUUUCUCCAAGAGAGCGACGGUGAGAGAGUGGACAUACCAACCACACUUCUCGGCAAGCCCCGUACCCAAGAUUAGUUGGCCACCCCAGAACAAACUUCGUGGUUUUUGUAGGCUUUCCCUGAUUUGUUGAUAUUUGUUGGUAUUUUUCCCUUAAUGGUCUACUUCUUUGCUUUGAUUUUUUGUGUGUUCUUUUCUUAGAAAAUAACAUGAAAUUGAAUGAGUAGGGAGGUGGAGAGGAUCUGAGAAUACUUGAGGGUAGAAGAAAGAGUAUGAUCAAAAUAUAUUUAAAUAGUAAGAAUGCAGUUGGAAGCAUUCAGCACGUUAAUAUUGUAAUUUUAAACAGAUUUUCUUAUGUUUCUAGAGAUGUUUCAGAAAAAUGCAAUUUUAAUAAACUACUGUCCUUAUGUUUCAAUAAUAAUAAGAUAACCUUUA